AGCGAACGCUGGCGGCGUGCCUAACACAUGCAAGUCGAACGUGAAAAGGGAAACCUGAGCACAGUGGCGUACGGGUGAGUAACGCGUAGGUAAUCUACCCCAGAAUCUGGAAUAACCUGCCGAAAGGCGGGCUAAUACUGGAUAGAGCGAGGGAACUCGUAAGAGAGUUUUUCGGGAAAGGGAGCCCGCAAGGGCCUUCGUUCUGGGAUGAGCCUGCGUCUCAUUAGCUAGUUGGUAAGGUAACGGCUUACCAAGGCGAUGAUGAGUAGCUGGUCUGAGAGGAUGAUCAGCCACACUGGAACUGAAACACGGUCCAGACUCCUACGGGAGGCAGCAGUGGGGAAUCUUGCGCAAUGGACGAAAGUCUGACGCAGCCACGCCGCGUGAGUGAAGAAGGCCUUCGGGUUGUAAAGCUCUGUCGGAUGGGACGAACAUCUUCAUAGUGAAUAGCUAUGAGGACUGACGGUACCAUCAAAGGAAGCACCGGCUAACUCCGUG
rnacentral:rRNA from 1 species